rnacentral:rRNA from 1 species
CCCUUAGAUGUUCUGGGCCGCACGCGCGCUACACUGACUGGUGCAACAAGUGUCUGACCUUGGCUCGAGAGGCCUGGGCAACCUUUGAACGCCAGUCGUGCUGGGGAUAGAUUCUUGCAAUUAUUAAUCUUCAACGAGGAAUUCCUAGUAAACGCAAGUCAUCAGCUUGCAUUGAUUACGUCCCUGCCCUUUGUACACACCGCCCGUCGCAUCUACCGAUUGAAUGGAGAGGCAAAAUCUUCGGACCGUGACGCGUUGGGGUCAAACCUGAUGCAGUCGUGGGAAGUGGAUUAAACCUUUCUAUUUAGAGGAAGGUAAANUCGUAACA